AGAACCUUACCUGGUCUAGAAAAGCACGGAACCUGCUAGAAAUAGUGGGGUGCCCGCAAGGGAACCGUGAUCCAGGUGCUGCAUGGCUGUCGUCAGCUCGUGUCGUGAGAUGUUGGGUUAAGUCCCGCAACGAGCGCAACCCUUGUCCUCAGUUGCCAGCGGUUCGGCCGGGCACUCUGAGGAGACUGCCGGCGUCAAGCCGGAGGAAGGUGGGGAUGACGUCAAGUCCUCAUGGCCCUUAUGUCCGGGGCUACACACGUGCUACAAUGGUCGGUACAGAACGGCGCGAACCCGCGAGGGGAAGCCAAUCGGCAAAAGCCGACCUCAGUACGGAUUGCAGUCUGCAACUCGACUGCAUGAAGCCGGAAUUGCUAGUAAUCGCUGAUCAGCAGGCAGCGGUGAAUACGUUCCCGGGCCUUGUACACACCGCC
rnacentral:rRNA from 1 species